rnacentral:rRNA from 1 species
AACGAACGCUGGCGGCAUGCCUAACACAUGCAAGUCGAACGAGACCUUCGGGUCUAGUGGCGCACGGGUGCGUAACGCGUGGGAACCUGCCCUUAGGUUCGGAAUAACUCCCCGAAAGGGGUGCUAAUACCGGAUAAUGUCUUCGGACCAAAGAUUUUUCGCCUUUGGAUGGGCCCGCGUUGGAUUAGCUAGUUGGUAGGGUAAAAGCCUACCAAGGCGACGAUCCAUAGCUGGUCGGAGAGGAUGAUCAGCCACACUGGGACUGAGACACGGCCCAGACUCCGACGGGAGGCAGCAGUGGGGUAUAUUGGACGAUGGGCGAAAGCCUGAUCCAGCAAUGCCGCGUGAGUGAUGAAGGCCUUAGGGUUGUAAAGCUCUUUUACCCGGGAUGAUAAUGACAGUACCGGGUGAAUAAGCUCCGGCUAACUCCGUG